GGCACGGCAGCGCGGGCUUCGGNCUGGCGGCGAGUGGCGAACGGGUGAUUAAUACAUCGGAACAUGUCCAGUAGUGGGGGAUAGCCCGGCGAAAGCCGGAUUAAUACCGCAUACGAUCUAUGGAUGAAAGCGGGGGACCUUCGGGCCUCGCGCUAUUGGGGUGGCCGAUGGCGGAUUAGCUAGUUGGUGGGGUAAAGGCCUACCAAGGCGACGAUCCGUAGCUGGUCUGAGAGGACGACCAGCCACACUGGGACUGAGACACGGCCCAGACUCCUACGGGAGGCAGCAGUGGGGAAUUUUGGACAAUGGGCGAAAGCCUGAUCCAGCAAUGCCGCGUGUGUGAAGAAGGCCUUCGGGUUGUAAAGCACUUUUGUCCGGAAAGAAAUCCUUUUCGAUAAUACCGAAGGGGGAUGACGGUACCGGAAGAAUAAGCACCGGCUAACUACGUGCCAGCAGCCGCGGUAAUACGUAGGGUGCGAGCGUUAAUCGGAAUUACUGGGCGUAAAGCGUGCGCAGGCGGUGAUGUAAGACCGAUGUGAAAUCCCCGGGCUCAACCUGGGAACUGCAUUGGUGACUGCAUCGCUUGAGUAUGGCAGAGGGGGGUAGAAUUCCACGUGUAGCAGUGAAAUGCGUAGAGAUGUGGAGGAAUACCGAUGGCGAAGGCAGCCCCCUGGGUCAAUACUGACGCUCAUGCACGAAAGCGUGGGGAGCAAACAGGAUUAGAUACCCUGGUAGUCCACGCCCUAAACGAUGUCAACUGGUUGUCGGGUCUUCAUUGACUUGGUAACGUAGCUAACGCGUGAAGUUGACCGCCUGGGGAGUACGGUCGCAAGAUUAAAACUCAAAGGAAUUGACGGGGACCCGCACAAGCGGUGGAUGAUGUGGAUUAAUUCGAUGCAACGCGAAAAACCUUACCUACCCUUGACAUGUACGGAAUUCCGCUGAGAGGUGGAAGUGCCCGAAAGGGAGCCGUAACACAGGUG
rnacentral:rRNA from 1 species